UAAACUCACGACAUUUGUGUUUAGAUAUAUCGUCAGGUGGAAGUCAAAUGAUUUCAUUACAUGUCCUUAUAAAUCUGAUAUUUACUUUCUUGUACUUGUCUGCACAAUCUUGUGCCUUCCACAGGGCCACUUGUGUUGUGGAGGGAGCACCUACGGGGGAUAAGAAACAGAGGAGGGGAUGCAGCUUGCUGGUCAGUGGAUGCUAUGCCCAUUCUUUGAUCCAGAAGAUAAACACGUCAGCAUCUCACUCCCCUGCCACGGUAACGUAAAGGAGCAUGUUCUCUAGCUGCAGCUGUAUCGGAGCUUUGCAAACAAGUUGAUGCUGCUUUGCACAGUCAGCUUUCAUCCUUCCCAUUAGCCAUGGCGUCCUCUGCUCCUGCCACAGGCUGGCAAAGCAGCCUAGCCUCCGCCAGUGAGCAAUUCAGUUGUCUGCUCUGUUUUCACUGGUACCUCCAAAUCCCCUCGUCUUGGCCUCCCCUAGCCACCACCUUUAAGACAGCAAUUUCUUAGAACAUUUCGUCAUUGGGAUCCUGAGCUCACGCUAGCCACGCAUCCAGCUGCAGUGCUGUUUGGAAAGGAGGUUGACAGCGACAUCCCUUUGUGCUCCUCCAUCUUUACCAGAUGUGGCAAUUUCUGUCUUGUGCUCCCUUUGGCAGCACUGGCAUCUCCAAAGUACAAGGGAGUUUCUCCUUGGCUGCAGCUUGUUUUUCUCCUGAAAUAUUUUCCUUGUGAGUAGCCAGAGCAAUUGCAGUAACUGGCACACGAAGGGACCUUGCUUCCCCACUGAUGGAAAGCAGCUUUUCUGUUAUCUUGCCCCUUCCUGGAUCAGAGCACGUUCUUGUUAGGCAGUGGCCACCCACGUAGUGACCUGCACUAGCCUGCUUGGCUUCUCUGUCAGUGCUCAAGUGCACUGCAUCCGAAGGGGCACCCUGCAUUUGGUACUGGCAGGACUGGAGGACUGGCAGCUGCCAGCCCCAUUACCUCCUCUCACGGCCCCUUUCAGAGCUGAGGCGACCCGUGUGCACGGCUGGACUCUCAACUCUGGUGGCAGGAGCUGAAGCUGUCAGCUCUGCCUCUGUUGAGCUGCUGGAGCAACCAGUAUCAACGCUCACGUUCUCUGUCCCAGCUCGAGCAGCUGCCUUUAAAAUUCCUCCUUUGAACUCCCCUCUGCCUUCUUUUCCCAGGGUGAAACCAUCGCUGGUUUCCAGUCAAUGUCAAAACACCCCAUGAAUGAACAGAAUUAGGACAGGCUGAGGAGGGAAUUAUUUC
rnacentral:lncRNA from 1 species